GCUCCGGUGGCCAAGUGGUUAGAGCAUCCACCUCGGAUGCGGGAGGUCGUGGGUUCAAACUCCGACCGUGUCA